CACGGCCACGGCGGGGGCCGGUGGAGGACCUGCAGGGUACCUUGCUGAGGAGUGAGCUAAGGAGAGGCAGGAAGGCGAGAAUACCACGCUCCCCCGAUCUCCAUUUCCUCGUCUCUGAAACAGAAGCAGCAACGCUAGACCCACGCCCCUCACGGGACAGCAAGCUUUAGGGAAAGAAGAGACUCAAGCAUGGAAGGAGAAAGAAAAGACAAAACUACAAAAAGAAAACAGACAAGCCUGCUAUUGGAGUUGCAGACUUCAGCACCCCUGCCUGACAGCUCACAGGCAGUCGGAGGGAAUACAGACGGCUUGAACACCAUCCGUCAACUGGAUCUAACUGAUGUUUACAGAACACUUCCCCCAAUAGGAGCAGAUGACACGUUCUUCUCAAGCUGACAUGGAACACUCACCAAGAAAGAUCACGUGCUGGGUCAUAAUAUUAAAAGGAUAGAAAUCAUAAAAAGUAUGUUCUCUGACCACAGUGGAAUUAAAUAGAAAUCAGUAACAGACUAAUGGCUGGGAAAUCCCCAAAUAUUUUGAAAUUAAACAACACACUUCUAAAUAACUCAGGGGACAAAGAAAUUGUCUUAGGAGAAAUUUUAAAACAUGUGAACAAAUUGAAGAAGAUAUAAUUUAUCAAAAUUUGUAGGAUGCAGCAAAAG